GACGGAGGAUGCAAGCGUUAUCCGGAAUGAUUGGGCGUAAAGCGUCCGCAGGUGGCAGUUCAAGUCUGCUGUCAAAGACCGGGGCUUAACUUCGGAAAGGCAGUGGAAACUGAACAGCUAGAGUAUGGUAGGGGCAGAGGGAAUUCCUGGUGUAGCGGUGAAAUGCGUAGAUAUCCGGAAGAACAUCGGUGGCGAAGGCGCUCUGCUGGACCAUAACUGACACUCAGGGACGAAAGCUAGGGGAGCGAAUGGG
rnacentral:rRNA from 1 species